CCCUGCGUAUUUGGGGGUGGCACAGCUGACAGUGGUUCCCGUCUUCCCCCCAACCCCACCCCCCUACUCCCCUCUCCUGGGCGUGGAUGGCUUUGGGAAGCGUCCACUCCAAGCGGCUCCAGCAACACUGAAUGGAUGUGUAGUAUGGUUAGCAGCUGGAGACGGAGCAAACGAUGCAAUGAAAAGAAGUCACAUUCACGGCGUAUUUGCUGGCAGGCACUGUGCGAAAUGCCUUGUAUGCAGCCUCUGUGAUUCUCUUCACGACUCGGUGAGCUGGAUGAGCAAGAAGCACUGGCGGGAAGGAGUUUGCAACAGUAAAGGCUGGAGGGCUGCCGGCACAGUGCAUUAGCUGGCACUGAGUCAUACCAACUAUAAAGAUUCCUGUUGGAAAUGUGCAGCAUCACAUCACAAAAGAAAAAGAAACCAGAAAUAAAUGAAAACUCCGACAUGGUUCCUGAUUUUGU
rnacentral:lncRNA from 1 species